CGUCUAUAUACGUAUAGCAUAUCAAUAAGCGGAGGAAAAGAAACUAACUAGGAUUCCCUUAGUAACGGCGAGUGAAGCGGGAAGAGCUCAAAUUUGAAAUCUUCAAGGUUUUACCUUGACGAAUUGUAGUUUAAAGAAGUGUUUUCUGUUGAAGUUUUGGUAAAAGUUCUUUGGAAUAGGACAUCAUAGAGGGUGAGAAUCCCGUAUUUGACCAUUAUUUUCAGCUGUGUGAUACACUUUCAAAGAGUCGGAUUGUUUGGGAAUGUAGUCCAAAAUGGGUGGUAAAUUUCAUCUAAAGCUAAAUAUUGGCGAGAGACCGAUAGCGAACAAGUACCGUGAGGGAAAGAUGAAAAGAACUUUGAAAAGAGAGUUAAACAGUACGUGAAAUCGUCAAAAGGGAAGCGUUUGACACCAGUGUUGUUUUUCCGAAAAUCAAUUAAGAAUGGCCGGAUUUUAAGUUUCAUGACCUUAAAAGCUUGUUUCUUAUUUUUCUUGUCUUUCUUAAUGCACUUUUCGGUUAACAAGUCAACAUCAAUCUCUUUUGUUGUAAAAGGGUAUGAGGAAGGUGGCUUUCUUUUCGGAGAAAGUGUUUAUAGCCUUGUACCUCUGCAAUCGGAGAGACUGAGGUCUGCAGCGUAGAUCCUUCGGGGUUAGAUGCAUUUGUGCUAAGUUAUAGCCUUUCAUAGACAACUUGUUGACUAUGAUCAGUCAUGUAGCUUACUCGCUUAUGCUAUUUUACCUACGCUUAGGAUGUUGACACACGCGCGUGCUCG
rnacentral:rRNA from 1 species